UACCAGCACCCCGAGUGGUCGGGACGAUUAUUGGGCCUAAAGCAUCCGUAGCCGGUUUUACAAGUCCUCCGUUAAAUCCAGCUGCUCAACAGAUGGGCUGCGGGGGAUACUACAGGGCUAGGAGGCGGGAGAGGCAAGCGGUACUCAGUGGGUAGGGGUAAAAUCCGUUGAUCCAUUGAAGACCACCAGUGGCGAAGGCGGCUUGCCAGAAUGCGCUCGACGGUGAGGGAUGAAAGCUGGGGGAGCAAACCGGG
rnacentral:rRNA from 1 species